rnacentral:rRNA from 1 species
UGCCCAGAAGUAGGGGAUAACACCUGGAAACAGAUGCUAAUACCGUAUAACAGAGAAAACCGCAUGGUUUUCUUUUAAAAGAUGGCUCUGCUAUCACUUCUGGAUGGACCCGCGGCGUAUUAGCUAGUUGGUGAGGUAAAGGCUCACCAAGGCAGUGAUACGUAGCCGACCUGAGAGGGUAAUCGGCCACAUUGGGACUGAGACACGGCCCAGACUCCUACGGGAGGCAGCAGUAGGGAAUCUUCCACAAUGGACGCAAGUCUGAUGGAGCAACGCCGCGUGAGUGAAGAAGGGUUUCGGCUCGUAAAGCUCUGUUGUUAAAGAAGAACGUGGGUAAGAGUAACUGUUUACCCAGUGACGGUAUUUAACCAGAAAGCCACGGCUAACUACGUGCCAGCAGCCGCGGUAAUACGUAGGUGGCAAGCGUUAUCCGGAUUUAUUGGGCGUAAAGCGAGCGCAGGCGGUCUUUUAAGUCUAAUGUGAAAGCCUUCGGCUCAACCGAAGAAGUGCAUUG